GAUUAACGCUGGCGGCGUGCAUAACACAUGCAAGUCGAACGAUGAAACUUUAAUGACCCCUUCGGGGAGAAUUAAAGCGGAUUAGUGGCGAACGGGUGAGUAACGCGUGAGUAACCUGCCUUACACAAGGGGAUAGCCUUUGGAAACGAAGAAUAAUACCCUAUAAAACCAUAAAAGCACAUGCAAUUCUGGUCAAAGUGAUAGCGGUGUAAGAUGGACUUGCGUCUGAUUAGCUAGUUGGUGAGAUAAAAGCCCACCAAGGCAACGAUCAGUAGCCGGCUUGAGAGAGUGUACGGCCCCAUUGGGACUGAGACACGGCCCAGACUCCUACGGGAGGCAGCAGUGGGGAAUUUUGCACAAUGGGGGAAACCCUGAUGCAGCGACGCCGCGUGAUUUAGAAGGCCUUCGGGUUGUAAAAAUCUUUUGUAUAGGAAGAAAAUGACAGUACUAUACGAAUAAGGUCCGGCUAAUUACGUG
rnacentral:rRNA from 1 species